rnacentral:rRNA from 1 species
AUUGAACGCUGGCGGCAUGCCUUACACAUGCAAGUCGAACGGUAACGCGGGGCAACCUGGCGACGAGUGGCGAACGGGUGAGUAAUGCAUCGGAACGUGCCCAGUUGUGGGGGAUAACUGCUCGAAAGAGCAGCUAAUACCGCAUACGACCUGAGGGUGAAAGCGGGGGAUCGCAAGACCUCGCGCAAUUGGAGCGGCCGAUGUCGGAUUAGCUAGUUGGUGGGGUAAAGGCCCACCAAGGCGACGAUCCGUAGCUGGUCUGAGAGGACGACCAGCCACGCUGGGACUGAGACACGGCCCAGACUCCUACGGGAGGCAGCAGUGGGGAAUUUUGGACAAUGGACGCAAGUCUGAUCCAGCAAUGCCGCGUGCAGGAAGAAGGCCUUCGGGUUGUAAACUGCUUUUGUCAGGGAAGAAAUCCUCUGGGUUAAUACCCCGGGGGGAUGACGGUACCUGAAGAAUAAGCACCGGCUAACUACGUGCCAGCAGCCGCCGCCGUAA